AGUGAACGCUGGCGGUAGGCCUAACACAUGCAAGUCGAACGGCAGCACAGUAAUAGCUUGCUCUUACGGGUGGCGAGUGGCGGACGGGUGAGGAAUACAUCGGAAUCUACUUUUUCGUGGGGGAUAACGUAGGGCAACUUACGCUAAUACCUCAUACGACCUACGGGUGACAGCAGGGGAUCUUCGGACCUUGCGCGAUUGAAUGAGCCGAUGUCGGAGUAGCUAGUUGGCGGGGUAAAGGCCCACCAAGGCGACGCUCCGUAGCUGGGCUGAGAGGAUGAUCAGCCACACUGGAACUGAAGCACGGUCCAGACUCCUACGGGAGGCAGCAGUGGGGAAUAUUGGAAAAUGCGCGCAACCCUAAUACAGCCAUACCGCGUAGGUGAAGAAGGCCUUAGGGUUGUAAAGACCUUUUGUUGGGAAAGAAAAGCAGCAGGUUAAUACACCGCUGUUAUGACGGUACCCAAAUAAUAAGCACCGGCUAACUUCGUG
rnacentral:rRNA from 1 species